rnacentral:rRNA from 1 species
UACGUAGGGGGCGAGCGUUGUCCGGAAUCAUUGGGCGUAAAGCGCGUGUAGGCGGUUCAGUAAGUCUGCUGUGAAAGUCCAGGGCUCAACCCUGGGAUGCCGGUGGAUACUGCUGAACUAGAGUCUGGAAGGGGCGAGUGGAAUUCCUGGUGUAGCGGUGGAAUGCGCAGAUAUCAGGAGGAACACCUAUGGCGAAGGCAGCUCGCUGGGACAGUACUGACGCUGAGACNCGAAAGCGUGGGGAGCAAACAGGAUUAGAAACCCCGGUAGU